ACGGGAGGCAGCAGUAGGGAAUUUUCGGCAAUGGACGAAAGUCUGACCGAGCAACGCCGCGUGAACGAAGAAGUAUUUCGGUAUGUAAAGUUCUUUUAUCAGGGACGAAAAGACAGAUUGACUGUACCUGAUGAAUAAGCUCCGGCUAACUACGUGCCAGCAGCCGCGGUAAUACGUAGGGAGCGAGCGUUAUCCGGAAUUAUUGGGCGUAAAGGGUGCGCAGAUGGCACAUUAAGUUUCUUGUUAAAAUGCGGGGCUCAACCCCGUAUCGCAAGAGAUACUGAUGAGCUAGAGUAUGACAGAGGCAAGUGGAACUCCAUGUGUAGCGGUAAAAUGCGUAAAUAUAUGGAAGAACACCAGUGGCGAAGGCGGCUUGCUAGGUCAAUACUGACAUUGAGGCACGAAAGCGUGGGGAGCAAACAGGAUUAGAUACCCUGGUA
rnacentral:rRNA from 1 species